rnacentral:rRNA from 1 species
GACGAACGCUGGCGGCGUGCUUAACACAUGCAAGUCGAACGGAAAGGCCCUGCUUUUGUGGGGUGCUCGAUUGGCGAACGGGUGAGUAACACGUGAGUAACCUGCCCUUGACUGUGUGAUAACUUCAGGAAACUGGGGCGAAUACCGCAUAGAAGCUCCUGCAGCACGGGGGGGGUUGGAGAGAUUCGGCGGUUGGGGAUGUACUCGCGGCUUAUCAGCUUGUUGGUGGGGUAGUGGCUUACCAAGGCUUUGACGGGUAGCCGGCCUGAGAGGGUGACCGGGCACAUUGGGACUGAGGUACGGCCCAGACGCCUACGGGAGGCAACAGUGGGGAAUAUUGCGCAGUGGGCGGAAGCCUGUUGCAGCAGCGCCGCGUGCGGGAUGACGGCCUUCGAGUUGUAAACAGAUUUCGAAUGUAACGAAGCGUGAGUGACGGUAAUGGGUAAAGAAGCACCGGCUAACUACGUG